GUUUGAUCCUGGCUCAGGACGAACGCUGGCGGCGUGCCUAAUACAUGCAAGUAGAACGCACAGGAUGCACCGUAGUUUACUACACCGUAUUCUGUGAGUUGCGAACGGGUGAGUAACGCGUAGGUAACCUGCCUGGUAGCGGGGGAUAACUAUUGGAAACGAUAGCUAAUACCGCAUAAGAACAUUUACUGCAUGGUAGAUGUUUAAAAGGUGCAAGAGCAUCACUACCAGAUGGACCUGCGUUGUAUUAGCUAGUUGGUGAGGUAACGGCUCACCAAGGCAACGAUACAUAGCCGACCUGAGAGGGUGAUCGGCCACACUGGGACUGAGACACGGCCCAGACUCCUACGGGAGGCAGCAGUAGGGAAUCUUCGGCAAUGGGGGGAAGAGCAACGCCGCGUGAGUGAAGAAGGUUUUCGGAUCGUAAAGCUCUGUUGUUAAGGAAGAACGUGUGUGAGAGUGGAAAGUUCACACAGUGACGGUACUUAACCAGAAAGGGACGGCUAACUACGUGCCAGCAGCCGCGGUAAUACGUAGGUCCCGAGCGUUGUCCGGAUUUAUUGGGCGUAAAGCGAGCGCAGGCGGUUAGAUAAGUCUGAAGUGAAAGGCAGUGGCUCAACCAUUGUAGGCUUUGGAAACUGUUUAACUU
rnacentral:rRNA from 1 species